UCAAGCUACAAAGAGCAUACAGGAGGAUGCCUUGGUACAUGGCGCCGAAGAAGGACGUGACAAGCUGCGAUAAGCUACGGGGAGUCGCAAAUAGACUUUGAUCCGUAGAUGUCCGAAUGAGGGAACUCACCGUAAGUAAUGUUACGGUAUCGUAUAAUGAAUAAAUAGUUAUACGAAGGGAACGUGGGGAACUGAAACAUCUAAUUACCCACAGGAAAAGAAAGUAAUAACGAUUCCGAGAGUAGUGGCGAGCGAAAUCGGAAGAGCCUAAACCAAGAGUAGUAAUACUUUUGGGGUGAAGGACUCCGUAAUCCAGUAAGAACCGUAGUCGAAGAGCGUUGGAAAGCGCUGCCAAAGCGGGUAACAGCCCCGUAGGCGAAACGGUUCGAGCGGAGGGAGUAUCCAGAGUACGACGGGACACGAGGAAUCCUGUCGGAACGUGCGAGGACCAUCUCGUAAGGCUAAAUACGACCAUGUGACCGAUAGAGUAUAGUACCGUGAGGGAACGGUGAAAAGAACCCCGGGAGGGGAGUGAAAAAGAACCUGAAACCGUAUGCUUACAAGCAGACAAAGCACCACACGAGUGUGAUGUCGUACUUUUUGUAGAACGGGCCGGCGAGUUACGAUGCGUUGCGAGGUUAAGUGAUGAAGUCACGGAGCCGAAGCGAAAGCGAGUAUGAAACGUGCGAAAAGUAGCGUGUCGUAGACCCGAAACCUGAUGACCUAUCCAUGAGCAGGUUGAAGCAGGGGUAAAACCCUGUGGAGGACCGAACACACGCCUGUUGAAAUAGUCGGUGAUGACUUGUGGAUAGCGGAGAAAUUCCAAUCGAAUCAGGAUAUAGCUGGUUCUCCUCGAAAUAGCUUUAGGGCUAGCCUGUUAUUUAGAAUACAUGGGGUAGAGCACUGAUUUGACUAGGGGGUUUCACGACCUACCGACUCAUAUCAAACUUCGAAUACAUGAUAUUUAUAUAACGGAGUCAGACGGCGACAGAUAAGUGCCGUCGUCAAAAGGGAAACAGCCCAGAUCCACAGCUAAGGUCCCAAAGUAUAGGUUAAGUGGUUAAGGAUGUGUCAUUGCAGAGACAACCAGGAUGUUGGCUUAGAAGCAGCCACACAUUAAAAGAGUGCGUAAUAGCUCACUGGUCGAGUGAAGGUGCGCCGAAGAUUCACGGGGCUAAAACCUAACACCGAAGCAUGGGGAUACGAGUAAUCGUAUCGGUAGAGGAGCAAUGUAUGAAAGGCUGAAGUCAGAACGGAAGUGCUGAUGGACGAGAUACAAGAGAGAAUGCCGGCAUAAGUAGCGAGAGAGGAGCGAGAAACUCCUCCGUCGAGAGUCUGAGGUUUCCUGGGGAAGGUUCGUCCGCCCAGGGUAAGUCGGGACCUAAGUCGAGGCCGAAAGGCGUAGAUGAUGGACAAUCGGUAGAGAAUCCGAUACCACCGAAUAUCGUUUAAAUGACGCGGUGACACAGGAGGAUAGUCAGACCACGGGAGUGGAAAUCCGUGGGCAAGGCGAGGUAGUGGCAGGUAGUAAAGUACGCUUGCUGUAAACUAUUGCGCUCACGCGGAGUGAAAUUAGUAGCGAAGCUGAUGAAUCCACGCUGGCGAGAAAAGCCGCUAAAUAUGGUAGUAGGUGCCCGUACCGCAAACCGACACAGGUAGACGGGAAGAAAAUUCCAAGACGAACGGGAGAACCCUUGUUAAGGAACUCGGCAAAACGACCCCGUAACUUCGGGAGAAGGGGAGCCACAGCGAUGUGGCCGCAGUGAAGAGGCCCAAGCGACUGUUUACCAAAAACACAGGUCUCUGCGAAAGCGCAAGCUGACGUAUAGGGGCUGACGCCUGCCCAGUGCCGGAAGGUUAAGAGGAGAUGUUAGCGCAAGCGAAGCGUUGAAUUUAAGCCCCGGUGAACGGCGGCCGUAACUAUAACGGUCCUAAGGUAGCGAAAUUCCUUGUCGGGUAAAUUCCGACCCGCACGAAUGGCGUAACGAUUUGGGCGCUGUCUCAACAGGGGGCCCGGCGAAAUUGAAGAAUGCGUGAAGAUGCGUAUUAACCCGCGACUGGACGGAAAGACCCCGUAGAGCUUUACUGUAACUUGAUAUUGAAUCACGGUAACGGAUGCACAGGAUAGGUGGGAGACUUGGAAGUAGCCGCUUCGGCGGCUAUGGAGUCGACGUUGGGAUACCACCCUUCUGUUGCUGGGAUUCUAACGGUCAGCCGUGAACCGGUGAACGGACAGUGUCAGGUGGACAGUUUGACUGGGGCGGUCGCCUCCUAAAGAGUAACGGAGGCGCCCAAAGGUUCCCUCAGAAUGGUUGGAAAUCAUUCGCAGAGUGCAAAGGCAUAAGGGAGCUUGACUGUAAGACAGACAUGUCGAGCAGAUACGAAAGUAGGGCUUAGUGAUCCGGCGGUAGAGAAUGGAAUUGCCGUCGCUUAACGGAUAAAAGUUACCUCGGGGAUAACAGGCUGAUCUCCCCCAAGAGUUCACAUCGACGGGGAGGUUUGGCACCUCGAUGUCGGCUC
rnacentral:rRNA from 1 species